rnacentral:rRNA from 1 species
GACGGACGCUGGCGGCGUGCUUAACACAUGCAAGUCGAACGGUAAGGCCCUUCGGGGUACACGAGUGGCGAACGGGUGAGUAACACGUGGGUGAUCUGCCCUGCACUUCGGGAUAAGCCUGGGAAACUGGGUCUAAUACCGGAUAGGACCACUGCCUGCAUGGGUGGGGGUGGAAAGCUUUUGCGGUGUGGGAUGGGCCCGCGGCCUAUCAGCUUGUUGGUGGGGUGAUGGCCUACCAAGGCGACGACGGGUAGCCGGCCUGAGAGGGUGACCGGCCACACUGGGACGGAGAUACGGCCCAGACUCCUACGGGAGGCAGCAGUGGGGAAUAUUGCACAAUGGGCGCAAGCCUGAUGCAGCGACGCCGCGUGAGGGAUGACGGCCUUCGGGUUGUAACCUCUCUCAGCACCGACGAAGCGCAAGUGACGGUAGGUGCAGAAGAAGGACCGGCCAACUACGUGCCAGCCGCCGCAGUAA